GCUGGGUGUGGUGGCACACACCUGUAGUCCCAGCUACUUGGGAAGCUGAGGUGGGAAGAUUGCUUGAACCCAGGAGGUAUAGGCUGCAGUGAGCUGUGAUGGCAUCUCUGCACUCCAGCCUGGGUGACAGAGCAAGAUCCUGUCUCAA
rnacentral:SRP_RNA from 1 species